CACAGAAAAAAUUCCAGUUGUUGGAAAGUUCUGCUUAGUUGGGAGGUAUUAUUAUUGUCAUUCAAUCAAAUUACUAUUAUUCGCACAACGCUCAAAGCAAGUAGAAAAUGAUGCCCAUUGCACUUUCAAAUAUUGCUUUAAUCCUGUCUUAUGCAGGCUGCUCUCUGGACAACCCUCCAAAGCCUCAUGCAGUCUCUCUCUGGAAUAUGCCCAGCCUUUGCCCCCAGCUAGCGCUAAUGUGGCCGCAGACCAGUUUUCUAGUUUUGCGAGUUUUCUAGUUUUGAGAGUUUUGAAGGCUAUAGCUUAAGCCUGUCCAUUCUUCCCUGCCAUGGGGUCCUCCAUCCUGCCAGCAUUCUCUCCUGCCACCUCCGCAGCUGCAGAGCAAACACACACACCGACGCCACCUCCACCUCUCAGUGCCACUGGCUUCCACUUCCACCCUCCCAGGCACCCACCUGGUCGUCCCUUGAGAGGUGCCCAACUGCCAGGGUUCCAGUCCUGGCUCCAACCUCAGAGUCUAAGCUACAUAACCCCUCAGCCUCAGUCUCUGCUUCUGUACAAUGGGUGUGCGAGCAGCAGCCACUUCCUAGGAUACCGAACAGAUCAAGUGGAGCUGGCGAGUAUGAAGUGCUAGAAACACAGGCCGUGCUCAGUAACUGCAAGCAGCUGUUGUUAUCUCGGCCCUUGGAGUCACUCGAAACUGUUCCACCUCAAGGAGCCACACUGGAAAAUUCCCCUUCUGACCACAACUUUCCCCCUCUCAUUCCCCGGGGGCACUUUUCAUCUCAGGAUUCCCCCAAGACUCCAGAUUCCAUAUUCCCCUGCCCCGAUGCUUUUGCUGAAGAACCACCUUCAUUCCUCAACUUUAAUACGGAGAGUUUUCCACUGGGUCCCCAACGCCCCCUCCACCUGGCCCGUAGAAGCCUGUUCUCUCAGUAGAGGAGGUGGGAAGAAUGACAGAUGGUGAAAGGGGAAAUGAGACCUUCAUCACAGUGUUAAGGUGGGAAGAGGCUAAAUGGGCUUUUGUUUACAUUUAAAGCCAUUUGUGGAGUUCUUGGUCCCAGGACACCUACUGUCUUCCUCCUUAGAAGGAAACACUGAGACGUCUCAACCUGGAAAGUGCAUGAGAGUCUCCCAAGGGGCCUUCAAAUGUGCACGCUCCUGUCCCACACACGCGGGCGCAGGCUGAGCGGGCCUGGACGGAACCUCACAAAGCUUUCAAAGCUCUGCUCUAAACUGGUUCGCAAAUGCAGGCCCAGCGCCCCGUUGGGCUCACUUCCUAUCUCCGUAACUAAAGUUUUAUUGGAACGCAGCCAUGCUCACUCCUUCGCUGAACUGCAAAGCUAAAAUAUUUGCCCAGAAAGUGUGCCAACCCCUGGUCCAGACCAGCAGGAACAAUUUGGUGAUGAAAUCAGGCUCCACUCAAAACAAACCAAAAAGGAAACAAGCUGCUACUAACGGCCGCUUUUCCCCUAAAAAAAUCUGCUUUCAAUAGUGGCAGCGUGGGAGCCGCCUGACCAGCAGAACCAGCGAUUAUGCUGGAAGUCAGUAGCCAUUUCUGGACAGUUGAGGGGCGGUGACGGGGAAGGUGCACAAGGAGCCUUCUGGGUGCUGAGAUGGUCCACAUCUUGAUCAUAUGUGUACAGAUUCAUCAAACCGUAUGCUUAAGAUUCGUGUGCUUAACUGUAGAACACUACACCUCAAUAAAAAUAUGUUUCUGAUUGAAGCCACUGACCAAGGAAAAAUGUUUGCAAGUCACACUAAACAUUCUCCAUGUGAUACAGUCCAGCAAAUGCACGCCCCAGGAUUUACCCAAAGAAGUUGAAAACGUACGUCUGCACACAGAUAUUAGCACCUUUAUUCAUAAUUGUCCAAAAGAGGAAGCAGCUAAGAUGUCCUUUCAUAGGUGAAUGGAUAAACUGUGGCACAUCUACACAAUGGAAUGUUACUCAGCACUAAAAAGAAAUGAGCCAUCAAGCCAGGAGAAGUCAUGGAGGAACCUUAAGUGCAUAUGACUAAGCUAAGGAAGCCAGUCUGGAAAGACUACACACUGUUUGAUUCCAGCUAUAUGACAUUCUGGAAAAGACUAACCUAUGGAGACAGUAAAAAAGAUUUCUUCGGCUCACAGAUAAAGACAGAAUGAUAGAAUUAGAAUGCCCCCAUGAUGCACCCCCCAAUGUUAAAGAGUAGCAGCCGAGGACACCCAGGCAUUAGGAGCUCCCUGAUGGAAGAACACACUAGAACCACCCAGCCCAGCUGCUCCAAGACCCUGACCUUUAGGCUCAGUGGAGGAGACUUGGGGUUACUAACUGAGGGAGAGACAGAGAGCAGACCAGCCAAGGACUGACCUUCCAGAAAGCCGGAGAGGAAGUCAGCCAGCAGGAAGGUGCGCAGAGCAGGUGACACCCUGGAGAGGCUGGAGGAGGAGGGACAGUCUCCCGCUCCAAGGACAACCCCAGCGCGACGUCCUGCUCCAGCCGAGGACGUGCCUCUGCCCCAAGGACACAGAAGUCCCACUUGGAGUCAGAUAACAGGUACCAUUUAUGGAGCCCACAUGAGGUGUCAGGGCUCCCACAGGUCUUGUUACGUAAGUUUGUCACUUGAUUUAGUCCUCUUUACACAACCCUACGAUGGGACUAAUCUUCCCCAUUUUACAAAUGAGAAAAUGGGGAUCCGGAAGGUGCC